GGAGAGGUCGCGUAGUGGCCGAGCGCGCGUGCCUGGAGCGCACGUAGGUUCUUAUGAGCCUCCAGGGUUCGAAUCCCUGCCUCUCCGCCA
rnacentral:tRNA from 1 species